rnacentral:rRNA from 1 species
AUAUUGACAAUGGGCGAAAGCCUGAUCCAGCAAUGCCGCGUGAGUGAUGAAGGCCUUCGGGUUGUAAAGCUCUGUCGGGAGGGACGAAAAAGCGGAUUAACAAACCGCAUUGACGGUACCUUCAAAGGAAGCACCGGCUAACUCUGUGCCAGCAGCCGCGGUAAUACAGAGGGUGCAAGCGUUGUUCGGAAUUACUGGGCGUAAAGCGCGUGUAGGUGGCGAUGUAAGUCGGGUGUGAAAUCCCUCAGCUUAACUGAGGAAGUGCACUCGAUACUGUGUCGCUUGAGUGUUGGAGGGGAUGGCGGAAUUCCCGGUGUAGAGGUGAAAUUCGUAGAUAUCGGGAGGAACACCUGUGGCGAAGGCGGCCAUCUGGACAACUACUGACACUGAGACGCGAAAGCGUGGGUAGCAAACAGGAUUAGAUACCCUGGUAGUCCACGCUGUAAACGAUGAGUGCUAGACGUCGUGGGUAUUGACCCCUGCGGUGUCGAAGUUAACACGUUAAGCACUCCGCCUGGGGAGUACGGUCGCAAGAUUAAAACUCAAAGGAAUUGACGGGGCUCCGCACAAGCGGUGGAGCAUGUGGUUUAAUUCGACGCAACGCGAAGAACCUUACCUGGGUUCGAACGGCACAGGACCGGUGCAGAGAUGUACCUUCCCUUCGGGGCCUGUGUCGAGGUGCUGCAUGGC